UCAUCUAUACUUCAAUAAAAUAUAUAUAUUAGGGAAAAAAAAUAUUGGUGAAGUUCAAAAGUUUGUGAAAAGAGUAUAAAGAGUGAAUAUGUAAAAGAGAAAGAAUGAUAUGAACAUUUUCUUAUCUGCUUGGUGGCACAUCUCCAUGGACUAUGUGUCCCAGACACCUCACUAGUGAGGGGUCCCUGGAGCCUGACUGUUCCACUGUCUACGUGGGCGCGGUGAACCUUGUUCAGUGAGGAACAUGAUGGAUGAACCCGUGACAGGCAGGGCCAGAGCCAGAGACCUGCACCUCUCCUGGAAACACAGUCACAGAACUCAGACAUUCUAGUUUUCAGCAGUCUUCAUCAGAAACUUCUCAGAAAGGUCGACUCUUUUCUUGUUUUCUAAGCGGAGCACAUUGAGGUCUGCCUCCCCUUGCUCGUUGUUGCUGGGAGAGAUGAACAGAACCGGGCAGGACGGUGACCGGGUCCUUGGGGCGCUUUCAUAGAUCACACUGGGGGAGUAGCUGCAUGGAGGUCCACAGUCCCAGCAGCUGCAUGUGGCAGCCUUCAUGAGUGAGUCAUUCCUGUUUGAAGAUCAAGAAGAUGGAUGUUCAUGUUCCACCAGCAAGUUUUUCUAAGACUGCAUAUAAGGCUGGUCUUUUUCUUUCC